GUGCUCACUUCAGCAGCACAUAUACUAAAAUUGGAACAAUACAGAGGUUAGCAUGGCCCCUGUGCAAGGAUGACAUACAAAUUCAUGAAGCAUAUUAAAGACAU